rnacentral:tRNA from 1 species
GAGGGUAUAGCUCAAGUGGUAGAGUGCAUGCUUAGCAUGCAUGAGGUCCUGGGUUCAAUCCCCAGUACUCCUCU